rnacentral:rRNA from 1 species
GGGUGCGAUCAUACCAGCACUAAUGCACCGGAUCCCUUCAGAACUCCGCAGUUAACCCUGCUUGGGCGAGAGUAGUACUAGGAUGGGUGACCUCCUGGGAAGUCCUCGUGUUGCACCCC